UUUUUAUCAAAAUAAAUAAGUGUGAGCUAAUGCUAAUGUUAGCAAGCUAAUCUCAAAGCUAAUUUUCUUUCAUGUUAAAUAAAGUUGAUCGAUGAUCAAACCAUGAAAUAAGUUCAAACAUUACAAAAAAAUGAAACUUCAAUAAAUAAUGUAACCAGGAAUAUGAUAUGCACAGAAAAGCAAAAUUAACCUCAACAUUAGCAUGCUAGUGCUAAUGCUAAUGUUGAGAAUUUUUAAGAUCCAUUAACAGAAUAAUUCCCCUAAAAUUUCAGCAGUUUGUAUUUUCAUCAGUUUGUUUUGCAGAGUUUAAGAGAUUAUUGAUCAGAAACUAUAUAAGAAAUUUUAAAGUUUUAAACAUUCCAGUAAUACAUUAUUUAUCUGCACCGCUAACAGUAAUGAUAGCAUCCGGGAGAAAUAUUGCUAAUUUUGUUCCUGGAUGUCUGAAACAGUGAGAGGUUUGUUAUUAUCAGCUGGCAUGCCAGAUGAAUAAUUUAUAGAUUUUAUUGAUUGAUCAGUUUCAACAUUUUAUCAAAAUAAAUAAGAUGUGCUAUUAUUAGCAUGCUAACCUCAAAGCUAACUUUUUCUUUCAUACUUAACAGAAAAUAAAGUGGAUUCAUGUCCUUCAUGGUGAAACUAUGAAAUAAGUUCAAAUAGUGCAAAAAAUGAUCUGCAAUCAAAUAUAAACACAGAAAAGAGUAGUUAGCCGAUGCUAACAUUAGCAUGCUAAUGCUAAUUUUCCCUCAGAAUUUUAGCUGUUUGUCUCUUAAUUAUUCUGUUUAGUAGAAUUUAAGGUUUUAUUAUUCUAGGAUGAUAAGAAAUACGUUUUAAUCGUAGUAAUUGAUUAUCGUUCAUAUCACAAUAAAUCAGGUAGCAUCCGUUAGAAAACGGCUCUUCUGUGAGAGACGUUUGUAUUGCUAAUGCUAGUUAGCCUGAUCACUGGAACAAGCAGUGAAAUGCUACUGGUUUUAGGACAGGAAACUGGAAAACAUUCAGUGUGACGUAAACGUGAGUUCCUACCUGGCAGCUGCAGGUUUGGUGAUUUUGUUUCAGCCAGACUGAAAAAGUAAAACAGCUGAAAUCUGAUUCUUAAGUUAAUGAUAUGAAGCUCCGAUGGAAAUGAACCCUCUGCUGUUUAUUUACACAAUGCUACAUUAGAAAGCCGCUAGCUGCCACUUCGUCCUGAGCGUGAUGAAGAGGAUUUGACUAGAGGAGAGUUUUAGGAUUCAUCUUCACAGCCAGACGCAGAGCGCUGCAGCCCUGCAACAUGUCUGAGAACAGGAAGCAGAGUGUCGUCCUGCAUCCUGGUUGGCCGACGCUGGGUGAGGGUUUCCUGCAGCGGAUCUUCCAGCUUCAGGAUCUCUGCAGUAAAACAUGGAGGACAAACGAAGGGUUAACAGGUGUAAACAUGAAUCCAGUAGAAAACGAACCGUCUGCAUCAUAAUAAAAGCAUCUAAAACACGCGGAGCAGUUCGGUUCCAGAAAUGACGCAGGAUUAAAUUUAAAUGAGAAUAGUUUGUGGUUUUUUAUUUCAUCAUCCUGAAGUUGCAUCAUGAUGUUUUGCUUUGCGUUGAAAAGACGUUGCAUCAUUUUCAUCCCAGCUUUAAAUAAGCAAACAAAAAUACUGUCCAGAUUUGUCAAAUCUAGCGCGCCAGUCAGGGUAAAAACACAAAGAUGGCCGCCCGCCGUAAACAGAGCAACGUCCUCUUAAAGAGACAGGAGCCCUGAACAAAAACGGCUUCAGAAACUCACAUUUAGCUACAACUGCCCCUAUGGCAAGCCAAUUUAACAUAAAAUCAGUUUAGUCUCACUCUCUGGAAUCACAUUCCAAAUACAUAAAAAUGAGUUUUGAAUAAAAUCAAAAACAUUGAGCAUCCUGGUUGAAAAUGUAAGAUUUCUGCUUUUCACAGAUCCAAAUGCCAAAUGACAUAAUUCAUCCUCUGAAGGGUCGCACAACCAUAACUACAACUAAAGAUUUCUACAACGUACUUAUGAUGAGUCAAAAUUACAUAAAUCUGCAAAGAAUUUCCAUUUAUUCUCUAAAAAGACAAUUAAAUUAAAAACAGAUUUGAAGAGAUCAAAGUUCUGCUG